GAAUGUGAGGGCACUCUGAAAUAUCUGUAGUCCCCUUGAUCACUAUGGUUGAUUCUGCAGAUCUACAUGCCUAGGAAGUUCUCCUUUUCCUCCCUCUCUGCUCCACAUGCAACCUCCCCCAGAAGUUGCAGACUUGGUUCGACAGGGUGACCUUCCUUGAUAGAAGAGGACCCACCUUCUGUCAGGGGUGUACCAUUAGCUGUGCUUCUGAGCUAAGACUGCGAACCAAGCUCUUAAACCUUAAUGUAUUUUUCUCCGAAAGGUUUUUAACACAUUCUUAUUUUAA
rnacentral:snRNA from 1 species